rnacentral:rRNA from 1 species
GACGAGCGCUGGCGGCGUGCUUAACACAUGCAAGUCGAACGGUGAAGGUGGAGCUUGCUCCGCCGGAUCAGUGGCGAACGGGUGAGUAACACGUGGGCAACCUGCCCCUCACUUCGGGAUAGCUCCGGGAAACCGGGGCUAAUACCGAAUACGACCUCCUUGGGCCUCCCGGGAGGUGGAAAGUUUUUCGGUGAGGGAUGGGCCCGCGGCCUAGCAGCUUGUGGGUGAGGUAACGGCUCACCAAGGCGACGACGGGUAGCCGGCCUGAGAGGGCGACCGGCCACACUGGGACUGAGACACGGCCCAGACUCCUACGGGAGGCAGCAGUGGGGAAUAUUGCGCAAUGGGCGAAAGCCUGACGCAGCAACGCCGCGUGCGGGAUGAAGGCCUUCGGGUUGUAAACCGCUUUCAGCAGGGAAGAAGCCGCAAGGUGACGGUACCUGCAGAAGAAGCACCGGCUAACUACGUGCCAGCCGCCGCGGUAA